rnacentral:lncRNA from 1 species
CAUGUCCAUCUGGUCUCAUCAGCUCCUUCACAAUCUCAUCAAUGUCAUUGUGUACAAGAUUAUGAACAUGGUAUUGUAAAUGCAAUGCCAUGGAAUCAACCAAUCUCACCUUAAAUAUCUUCCAAUAAGCAACCAUUCUCAUCUUCAGGUCGAAAGCUUGUUGCAGGAUCGAAAUAUUCGAGUGUUGUCUGAGAUGUUCGAUUUGGAUUUCCCCGAAAUCUUGGAGAUUCACACUGCAAGGCGGCGGCCACAUGUUUGUUCCAGAUAUUUGGUUUAUGAAAUGGUCUUGUUGCUUCAUGAGCUUAUUCCACUCCAUCAUGUACUCAGGGUUACAUGUAUAGCCUGUUAGCUUCUCCAUUUCUACAAUCUCUUUCACCCUAUUGAUUGAUUGCUCCCUCAGCUUUUGAACAAGGUUGUGAGCAGCUCCUUUAGCGGAUACCUUGAGGUGAUAAUACAUCUCCGAGUGGCGCGUCAAAACAGACAUCACCACAUCGUCUAUGUAAUCCCAAUACUUUUCGCUGAAUUUGAUAGGGAGACACGAUAUCCUCUCGACUUUUCUCCGCAAGAUGCUAAGGAAUGCUUCACAGGGAAGGAAGUUCGGUAGUUCGAUCCCCCUAGCAUCUUCCAAACCCUUGAUCUCUUCUGUUAAAAACUCUUUUGAUAGAUUACUUUCCUCGCAGUUGUGAAGCUCAUCGGAGAACCGGUUCAGCAUUUCGACAAACCGAGCAGUCCCGUGCUUCGUGUUGUCCUCGGGGUAUUCAUCAAAUUCCCCCCUCCAAAGAAGUUUCUUCAGGGAUUCUUUAGCUGCUUGGAUGAUCCUCAUCAUAGCUUGAGUGGCAUCAGCAAUAGAAGUUAAGGCCUUUGGCAUUUUCUCUAGCUCUGAAACAUUUGCAUCCAGCUUUGCACUAAUGUUUUUAACAAUCUCUGGCAAGCACUUUGCAAUUGCAUUAGCUUGAAUUCGGACAAGCUUUUGAGCCAAAACAUGAACACCCACAAUUGAUUUAUCAAUACAUGACAAAUGUGCAUUAGUUUCGAACAAUCUAGCCUCUUCCUUCCUUGCUUCUUCAUAGGAUUCAUCACCAAUCCGAUUCCGAACACAAACAUAACCAAGUCCUAUAUUCACAUCAUCUGCAGUAACCUUGUCAACAAGCCCUUCGGGGGCCCUAUCUACUUUAGUAACCACAGCAAGAGUUCUCUCACCAUUCUUGUCCACUUGUUGCGACAUCCUAAUGGAUUCACAAGUUGAAAAAUCAACCGUAGCCGACAGAACAUUAAGGAUAAUGCUUUCCUUUGGUGUUAUGUACUGCAUGAUGAUGUCCCGGAUCUGCUCAUAUAUGUUGUCAGGCUGACCAUGGACAGGAACUCUGGUAAUUCCAGGAAGAUCAACCAUGGUAAGAUCAGGAACCCCAUCUUUUCUCACCACCAAAGUCAAAGGGAUGUCAGAUAUGCUCUUACCCGGGCCUGCAACCUCAUCCGUUGCAAUGUUUAUGGCUGUUGCAAUCUGGGGUUCCUCCACUGGGACCAUUUUGCCAUUGUACUCCAAGUAGAGCUCUGGCCUUGGCCUUGCAUGGUUCUGCAACCUGAUUAUGAGAGGUACCCUGGUGCAAAUGCCCUGGCUACGAGGAAGGUUAACACCAGCCAAGGAUUCAAGAACACUAGACUUGCCUGAUGACUGGUCUCCAACCACAACAAUUGUGGGGAGCUGUAUGCCUUCUUUCAUCACCAUGAGCAGCCUGAGCCUGUCGAUGACAUCAAGCAAAGGUCGGAUUUUGUCAUUGUAUGAUGAAAUAAUUGGGGCUUGAGCUGCUGCUGCUCCCACCACCUUAGGUUCUUCCAUAGGAGGAGUUGCUGGUUUAGAAUCUUCAUAAUCAUUGAUGACACCAAUGCUCCCCGAAUCAGCUUCAUCAUAGCUACCCAUUUUUUAGAAGUCGAGACAGGAUGGGAAUUGGCCAAACUUGAUGUUUUAGACGGUUUUUUUUUUUGUUGGAAUUUGGAAAGCAAUAAACUUGAACUAAAGUGAAGACAAAUUCAAUGAAGCAUGUUUGGCUUUAUAAUGAAAAUUAAAAUAGGGUAAAGCACCAAAAAUAGGAACAAUAAAGCGAUAGCAUCCUAUACCAAACCCCAAGAAACAAGCAAACGAAGCUACAAUGGGAAUGGAAAAUUUUAGGUUAUACUUUGAAUUGUAGAAAAUAAUGAUACAAGGACAGAAGAGAGGAAACAGAACAAAAUCAAAUCGUGACCGACCGAAAGUUGAGUGUGUCGAUGACAGAAAGUUCGAAACAUAAACAGCCCCACAAGUUCCUACAGGAACUAGACAGCAGAACUAUAUGAAACAAUGUAUUCACAUUGAAGUUUCGGAUAGAUGCCACGUACAAGCCAUGUUGCCAUUACCUCAUAUGCUCUUUGUGUCAAAUGAGUUCCAUCCCAACUAAGCUGUUCAUUAGGGUUUUCGCAUACCGGUACUUUUGGAUCUCCGCACCAACUUGAUAAGCCAGAAUUGUAGUCUCCCCCAAUUCCGCAGCAAGCUUUUUGCAAUGAUGUUGGAUCAAAACCAGUUGAGAUUUUUCGAAAACUCAGAACAUGACUAGAACCAUUCACAGUACGAUCACAUAAACUUAUGGAUGCAAAUAAAUCAGACUUACCAAGCAGAUCAGCUUUGCUCAAAAGCCACAGGAAUGCAUUGUAGUAGUCACCGUAGACAACGAUUACAUCUGGAUGUUUUUCUUUUAGCUGAUCAGCAAUAGCUUGUUGAAGAAGAUGAUUAUGAUAGAUUGAAAAAAAGCCUUGACUUCGUCCCUUUCGUAUACCUACUCUAAGACAAAAAAAAAUCAUUUUAUUAAUUAAGCUUUUUGUUUAUUAAUAAUUUGUUUUUUUUUUCAAAUUCAUUAAAUAUAAUUAAAAAUAUUUGGAAGAAAAAUCUAAUGGUAGACUAGAUAGUUAAGAUAAUAUCUGACAGAGAGAUCGAUGUUCGAGUAUUUGUUGAAGUUCCUACGUAACUUAUAACAAUUUUACAAACUGAUAGAGAUAAUAGUUUAUUCGAACAUUUAUUUUUAAUAGAGUGAAGAAACCCAAUUAUUUAAUUUAUGGGUAAACUACAUAAAGGGUAACACAACUAUAAAAAGUUACAAAAUGUUCAUCUAACUAUUCAAUAUUGUUUUUUUAGAUCACCCGGCUAACGGUGGCAACUUUUAAAUUUUGAAUAAUAGAAAUUUAACCCUCAACACUUAUAUAUUGUAUCAAUUUAGUCUUGAUUCUAAAAAAAAAAUUUAACUCUCAACAUUUACACAUUGUAUAAUUUGGUCUCUCUUUUUGUAAUUUUGCUUUUCUUUGUGACAUUUAGUGUUAAUUUUAAAAGAAUAAGAAAAGAAAAAAAAUUAUUAUCUUGGAUUUCUGGGUGCUCCUAUUUUUUAUAUAUUUUUAAUCAAAUUUAACUGAUAAAUUUAUUUUUAACUUUUUAAGUGAAAGGGUAAAGAAAAACAAAGUUGUACCAGAAAAAAGAAGAAGAUCAAACUACCCAAUGUAUAAAUGUUGAUAGUUAAUUAUUUCUGGAAUCAAGAUUAAAUUGACAUAAUUUAUAAAUAUUGAGGGUUAAAGUUGAUAUUAUGCGAAUAUUAAAAGUUGUCACCGAUGAUCAGUGACCAAAAAAAGACAAAACUGAAUAAUUUAAUGAUCAUUUUGUAACUCUUCAUAAUUUAGUACAAAAUUAAGUGAAUGUUAACGUGUUUGAGGCGAACCUCGAUGAACAUGUCAUGCAACGCAUAGCUAAAGGGGUAGAUAAGAGCUUUAGACCUCUUUUAGUUAAAUGGUAUCAUUAUGAUUAUAGUGCCUCUUAAAUGUCAAUUGUUCAAUUUAGUUCCUCUCUAGCUUUUAAUUAAAUGGAACAAUUGUAAUUUAGACCCUUUUCAAAUGUUUAAAUUUAAUUUGAGUUAUUUUAAUGUAAAAUAUUUUAGCUUUGUCCCCUAUUUUUUUAAUUUUAUCUUGGCUCUUCAUCACAUAAUUCAUGACUUCGCUUGAUACCAUGAGACUGAAUGUUAAUAUUUUAAGUAUUCAAACUUCGGAUCGUUUAUGAACAAAGUUUCGAAAGAAAGAUGAUGGAAUAUUGACCUUGUAGCUGUAUAAGAACUAGAAAGUAAUAUUAUAAAAAGAUUGGAGAUUAUAAGUUAAACACUUUGAAUUAUCGAAAAGUUGUUGCAGGAAGUUCGGUAGUUCGAUCCCCUUAGCUUACCUUCAAAGAUACUUCACCAAUUUAGACCUCGAAAUCCCUACACUGUCGGAUUCGUUUUGAAAGGAGUAUGUGAAAUCCAUUAUACUCAAGAGCUCUCGAAGGGGCCGUGCAAAGAGGCUUCGAAAAAAAAUUGCAUGAAGUUCUUUUAUUUUAUAUAAAAAAUUUGAACUAAUAAAAAAUUGAUUUCAAAUUAUUUCUAUUUUUAUUUUUUAAUUUUUAGUGUAAAUAUUGAUUUUUGUGUAAUUUUUUGUAAUUCAAUUGUUAAAGUAUGUAGUUUGAUACAUAAUUAUUGUUGUUAAUUUAUGAUAGCUAUGAAUGGGAUGCAUUGAGUUUGAAAUAUUUUAAGUAAAUUAUCAAAUUUUAUAAUAUUAGUUAAAAUUAAAAUAAUAUAUAUUUACUCUCUUUUUUUCUCUUUCUAUCUUGAUUAAUUUGUGGACUAGGUAAUGAAUCUUGGUGUCCGAUUAUGUUUGAUAAUAUCUGUUUUUUUUAUACAAUUUAUAGAGGUACCUGUAGCCCCUCUUAAGCCAUAAGUAGAAGGAUAAUAUGCUUCAGCACACAAAAACUUACGUCUUCCUGCAUUGGCAAUUGAGUUAAGACUCCAUCGGUAAAAUUUUAAAGAAAACAAAAUAAAUAAAAACUAAUCCCCCAAUUUACCGUCCACAGUAGUUCCGACAUUAUUAUAUAAUCUUCAAUUCUUUAUAAUCUAUACUAUAUAUGUAGAAUACAGACACGUGCAGCAUGUAAUAAAGCAAACCAUGAUGAUGACCCAAAUUUUAUGUGAAAAUAUUAAACCAAGUAAGCAUCAUAAGCAACAAUCCUAUCCAUGAUCAUGGCCACACUAUCUUUGGACUCCUUUAACACCUUGAUGAUGUUUUUAAGCUUCUCACGCUUUGCAACAAUGGCAGGAGAUUCCACCAGCAUCAUCUUUAUCCCAUGUCCAUCCGGUCCCAUCAGCUUCUUCACAAUCUCAUCAAUGUCAUUGUGUACAAGAUUAUGAACAUGGUAUCGUAAAUGCAAUGCCAUGGAAUCGACCAAUCUCACCUUAAAUAUCUUCCAAUUGUUAGUACAAAACUCCGGUAAGGAAAAAUCUCGAACACACGAUCAGAACUCGAAAAGAAAAGAAGAAAUAGGACAAGGCUCCAAGGCGUGUAUCAAGGCACUAUCUUUAAGGUUAUAUUCGCCCCCACUUAUCUUCAGUGUGCAAAUGAGUUCCAAGCAAAUUAACCUCGAGGAUUCAAUGAAGCCAAUGACUAUUUGCGUUUUGCACUGACGAGAAUAGUCCACUAUGCACUGAGUAAUCUAUAACAAAAACUCAAUUUCUACAAAGGAUUUCUGCAGUAAUACUUUAUAGAAUAAUCUAAUAAUAUUAGAAAAUGAAGGAAUAGAAAAAAUAAUAUUAGAAUUUGUUGAUCUUUCCAAAUGAAAACUCAUUCCUAUUUAUAGGAAUUUUCUUGUCUCUUCAUAGAGACAUCUUUCAAUAGGUGUCUUUAUGAAUAAAUAAAUAAUAAUUAUUCAUUUAAUUUUAUAACUAUUCAAAUAAUAUUUUUUGAAUAAUUAUAAUUCUUUUUUUAAAAAAAAUCAAAUGAUAUAACUUUUGACCAAUGACCAAAAGAUUUAUCUUUUGAUUAAUUACACCCAUUCAUUUAUAGUUAUUGGAAUACUAUAAAUAUUUGAAAAUGUUCAACACCAAUAAGCAACCAUUCUCAUCUUCAGGUCGAAAGCUUGUUGCAGGAUAGAAACAUUCCAGUGUUGUCUGAGAUGUUCGAUUUG